rnacentral:rRNA from 1 species
UACGUAGGGGCCUAGCGUUGUCCGGAAUUAUUGGGCGUAAAGAGCUCGUAGGCGGUUCGGCAAGUCGGAUGUGAAAUCUCCACGCUUAACGUGGAGGGGCCAUUCGAAACUGCUGUGACUCGAGUCCGGUAGGGGGGUGUGGAAUUCCCGGUGUAGCGGUGAAAUGCGCAGAUAUCGGGAGGAACACCAGUAGCGAAGGCGGCACUCUGGGCCGGAACUGACGCUGAGGAGCGAAAGCGUGGGGAGCGAACAGG